rnacentral:misc_RNA from 1 species
GUCAUCUUUGUCUCUUAUCCAAACAUUUUUUGUAAGAUGAUGUUUCUGGUUACAUUGAACUGCAUACUGUCUAAGUGAACUGGGAUUCUCAUACACCUUUUGCUUUUUACCAGAAAUAUAUGGUCUAAUAAGGUGCCUUUUCCCCUGAUUUAUUGAACCACAAUAUGACAAUAAACCACCAGUGGCAGCAACUCUACCGUUAAGGUCUCUGCUGUAUGCCCUUUCUGCCUUCCGAAACCACUUAUCAUCCUCAAAGUUCUCCGGAGACGGUAAGCAGCUAGCAUCUUGAUCAUCCCACGCCUCGUUCCUAUAAUCUAUAUCUUGAGUUCUGCUAAUGUUAUUCUUCCUUUCACUGAACACAAUCUGUCCAGAGCUGUGCCUCAUCAUUUCUUCAUCUAAAAUGUACUUUCUCUUCUCUGACCUUAUUGGAUGACCAU